rnacentral:rRNA from 1 species
UGGGGAAUCUUGCACAAUGGGCGAAAGCCUGAUGCAGCGACGCCGCGUGCGGGAUGAAGGCCUUCGGGUUGUAAACCGCUUGCAGCAGGGACGAGGCCGCAAGGUGACGGUACCUGCAGAAGAAGCCCCGGCUAACUACGUGCCAGUAGCCGCGGUAAUACGUAGGGGGCAAGCGUUAUCCGGAUUCAUUGGGCGUAAAGCGCGCGUAGGCGGUUUGUUAGGUCAGGAGUUAAAUCUGGGGGCUCAACCCCUAUCCGCUCCUGAUACCGGCCGGCUUGAGUCUGGUACGGGAAGGCUCAAUUCCAAGUGCAGCGGUUAAAUGCGCAGAUAUUUGGAAGAACACCGGUGGCGAAGGCGCCCUUCUGGGCCACGACUGCCGCUGAGGCGCGAAAGCUCGGCGAGCGAACAGG